UCAUGUGUAGCAUAGUGGUUAAGGACCAGGGCUCAAAACCCAAAGGUUGCCGGUUCGAUUCCCCACUGAG